GACGAACCGAGCGAACGUUGUUCGGAAUCACUGGGCUUAAAGGGCGCGUAGGCGGGCUGUCAAGUCUGGGGUGAAAUCCCACGGCUCAACCGUGGAACUGCCUUAGAUACUGACGGCCUCGAGGGAGAUAGGGGCGAGCGGAACUGUGAGUGGAGCGGUGAAAUGCGUUGAUAUUCACAGGAACUCCGGUGGCGAAGGCGGCUCGCUGGAUCUCUUCUGACGCUGAGGCGCGAAAGCUAGGGGAGCAAACGGG
rnacentral:rRNA from 2 species